GACGAACGCUGGCGGCGUGCCUAACACAUGCAAGUCGAACGAAGCUCGAAGCUUUGAGAUUUCGGUCAAGAAGCCUAGAUGACUUAGUGGCGAACGGGUGAGUAAUGCGUGAGCAACCUGCCUUUCAGAGGGGGACAACAGCUGGAAACGGCUGCUAAUACCGCAUAACACAUUUGGGUGGCAUCACCUGGAUGUCAAAGGAGCAAUCCGCUGAGAGAUGGGCUCACGUCUGAUUAGCUAGUUGGUGAGGUAACGGCUCACCAAGGCGACGAUCAGUAGCCGGUCUGAGAGGAUGAACGGCCACAUUGGGACUGAGAUACGGCCCAGACUCCUACGGGAGGCAGCAGUGGGGAAUAUUGGGCAAUGGGCGAAAGCCUGACCCAGCAACGCCGCGUGAAGGAAGAAGGCUUUCGGGUUGUAAACUUCUUUUAUCAGGGACGAAGGAUGUGACGGUACCUGAUGAAUAAGCCACGGC
rnacentral:rRNA from 1 species